rnacentral:rRNA from 1 species
UACGUAGGGUGCGAGCGUUGUCCGGAAUUAUUGGGCGUAAAGGGCUCGUAGGCGGUUUGUCGCGUCGGGAGUGAAAACUCAGGGCUUAACCCUGAGCCUGCUUCCGAUACGGGCAGACUAGAGGUAUGCAGGGGAGAAUGGAAUUCCUGGUGUAGCGGUGAAAUGCGCAGAUAUCAGGAGGAACACCGGUGGCGAAGGCGGGUCUCUGGGCCGUAACUGACGCUGAGGAGCGAAAGCAUGGGGAGCGAACGGG